UCUCCGUAGGUGAACCUGCGGAGGGAUCAUUACUGAGUGAGGGCUUCGGUCCGACCUCCAACCCUUUGUGAACCAAACUUGUUGCUUCGGGGGCGACCCUGCCGUUCGGCGCGGCGCCCCCGGAGGUCAUCAAAACCCUGCAUCUCUGCGUCGGAGUUAUAAGUUAAUCAAACAAAACUUUCAACAACGGAUCUCUUGGUUCUGGCAUCGAUGAAGAACGCAGC
rnacentral:misc_RNA from 1 species